CCUACGGGUGGCUGCAGUGAGGAAUAUUGGUCAAUGGCCGAGAGGCUGAACCAGCCAAGUCGCGUGAGGGAAGACGGCCCUACGGGUUGUAAACCUCUUUUGUCGGGGAGCAAAGCGAACCACGUGUGGUUCAUUGAGAGUACCCGUAGAAAAAGCAUCGGCUAACUCCGUUCCAGCAGCCGCGGUAAUACGGAGGAUGCGAGUGUUCUCCGGAGUUAUUGGGUUAAAAGGGUGCGCAGGCGGAGGUGCAAGUCAGCGGUCAACUUGCGGGGCUCAACCCCGUACUGCCGUUGAACCUGCAUCCCUUGAGUGCGCGAGAAGUAUGCGGAAUGCGUGGUGUAGCGGUGAAAUGCAUAGAUAUCACGCAGAACUCCGAUUGCGAAGGCAGCAUACCGGCGCGCAACUGACGCUCAUGCACGAAAGCGUGGGUAUCGAACAGGAUUAGAUACCCAAGUAGUC
rnacentral:rRNA from 1 species